rnacentral:rRNA from 1 species
CAGCAGUAGGGAAUCUUCCGCAAUGGACGAAAGUCUGACGGAGCAACGCCGCGUGAGUGAUGAAGGUUUUCGGAUCGUAAAGCUCUGUUGUUAGGGAAGAACAAGUGCGAGAGUAACUGCUCGCACCUUGACGGUACCUAACCAGAAAGCCACGGCUAACUACGUGCCAGCAGCCGCGGUAAUACGUAGGUGGCAAGCGUUGUCCGGAAUUAUUGGGCGUAAAGGGCUCGCAGGCGGUUUCUUAAGUCUGAUGUGAAAGCCCCCGGCUCAACCGGGGAGGGUCAUUGGAAACUGGGAAACUUGAGUGCAGAAGAGGAGAGUGGAAUUCCACGUGUAGCGGUGAAAUGCGUAGAGAUGUGGAGGAACACCAGUGGCGAAGGCGACUCUCUGGUCUGUAACUGACGCUGAGGAGCGAAAGCGUGGGGAGCGAACAGGAUUAGAUACCCUGGUAGUCCACGCCGUAAACGAUGAGUGCUAAGUGUUAGGGGGUUUCCGCCCCUUAGUGCUGCAGCUAACGCAUUAAGCACUCCGCCUGGGGAGUACGGUCGCAAGACUGAAACUCAAAGGAAUUGACGGGGGCCCGCACAAGCGGUGGAGCAUGUGGUUUAAUUCGAAGCAACGCGAAGAACCUUACCAGGUCUUGACAUCCUCUGACAACCCUAGAGAUAGGGCUUUCCCUUCGGGGACAGAGUGACAGGUGGUGCAUGGUUGUCGUCAGCUCGUGUCGUGAGAUGUUGGGUUAA